UUUCUAGAGAGAAAAAUUAAAAUGGCUUUUCUCAGGAGUAUUUCAUUACGUUUGUCAUUUAAAACCAUGACUUCAUCUGAUUAAGAUUUCAUUUUCUUUUUAGAAAUAUCAUUUCUUGUGAAAGCCAAUCUUUUCAGCUAUGACUGAACGAGGGCUUACACCUACUAUUACUGAAACACCUCCUAUAGCUCCCAUUAUCAAUGGGAGUCCCAUGCACCAGAUGGAGAGUUAUCCUCUGGACACUACUGUUGCAACACAGUAUACUACCAAUUAUUCACAAAUGAUGACUCAUCCCAAGAGAUAUACCAGAUGGCCUUCUUGUCCUCAGUACUGGAUACAACAAGUUAUACUGGUGCAAGUUAAUCCUGGAGAGACCCUCACUAUCAAGUCUGAUGACGGGAACAUUCAGAACAUUCAAGGACCUGCCGAUGUACCUCUGAUGUCACCAAGUGGUACUUUGCCACCAAUAUAUCUUCCUCCUGGCUACAUGUCUCAAGUAUGUUUGUAUGGUUUUUAUUUGGUGUUUAGCUCUAAAUUAUCAUUUAACAUUUUUCAUUAUGUCACUAUAUGAUAAGAGAACUUCUG
rnacentral:lncRNA from 1 species